GAUGAAGAACGUAGCGAAAUGCGAUACUUGGUGUGAAUUGCAGAAUCCCGUGAACCAUCGAGUCUUUGAACGCAAGUUGCGCCUCAAGCCAUUAGGUUGAGGGCACGUCUGCCUGGGCGUCACAUAUCGUUGCCUGAUGCCAGUUUCCUCGUGAUGGGUGACUGUGCAGGGCGAAUGAUGGCUUCCCGUGAGCAUUGUUGCCUCAUGGUUGGUUGAAAAUUGAGUCCUUGGUAGGGAGCGCAGUGAUAGAUGGUGGUUGAGUGACGAACGAGACCCAUUCAUGUGAGACCCCUACCGAAUUUGGCCUUCAUGACCCACAUGCGUCUUUGGAACGCUCAUGACGAGACCUCAGGUCAGGCGGGGCUACCAGCUGAGUUUAAGCAUAUCAAUAAGCGGAGGA
rnacentral:misc_RNA from 1 species